GACGAACGCUGGCGGCGUGCUUAACACAUGCAAGUCGAACGGAAAGGCCCUGCUUUUGUGGGGUGCUCGAGUGGCGAACGGGUGAGUAACACGUGAGUAACCUGCCCUUGACUUUGGGAUAACUUCAGGAAACUGGGGCUAAUACCGGAUAGGAGCUCCUGCUGCAUGGUGGGGGUUGGAAAGUUUCGGCGGUUGGGGAUGGACUCGCGGCUUAUCAGCUUGUUGGUGGGGUAGUGGCUUACCAAGGCUUUGACGGGUAGCCGGCCUGAGAGGGUGACCGGCCACAUUGGGACUGAGAUACGGCCCAGAAUCCUAAGGGAGGGAGCAGUGGGGAAUAUUGCCCAAUGGGCGGAAGCCUGAUGCAGCAACGCCGCGUGCGGGAUGACGGCCUUCGGGUUGUAAACCGCUUUCGCCUGUGACGAAGCGUGAGUGACGGUAAUGGGUAAAGAAGCACCGGCUAACUACGUG
rnacentral:rRNA from 1 species